GGCGUAAAGCGUGCGUAGGCGGUUCGUUAAGUCAGAUGUGAAAGCCCUGGGCUCAACCUGGGAACUGCAUUUGAAACUGGCGGACUAGAGUUUAGUAGAGGGGAGUGGAAUUUCAGGUGUAGCGGUGAAAUGCGUAGAUAUCUGAAGGAACACCAGUGGCGAAGGCGACUCCCUGGACUAGAACUGUCGCUGAGGUACGAAAGCGUGGGUAGCAAACAGGAUUAGAUACCCUGGUAGUCCACGCCGUAGACGAUGUCAACUAGCCGUUGGUCCUAUUUACAGGAUUAGUGGCGCAGCUAACGCAUUAAGUUGACCGCCUGGGGAGUACGGCCGCAAGGUUAAAACUCAAAUGAAUUGACGGGGGCCCGCACAAGCGGUGGAGCAUGUGGUUUAAUUCGAUGCAACGCGAAGAACCUUACCUACCCUUGACAUCCAGAGAAUCUGUUAGAGAUAGUAGAGUGCCUUCGGGAGCUCUGAGACAGGUGCUGCAUGGCUGUCGUCAGCUCGUGUUGUGAAAUGUUGGGUUAAGUCCCGUAACGAGCGCAACCCUUAUCCUUAGUUGCCAGCGGGUCAUGCCGGGAACUCUAGGGAGACUGCCGGUGAUAAACCGGAGGAAGGUGGGGACGACGUCAAGUCAUCAUGGCCCUUAUGGGUAGGGCUACACACGUGCUACAAUGGCCGGUACAGAGGGCUGCGAAACUGCGAAGUCAAGCAAAUCCCAGAAAGCCGGUCCUAGUCCGGAUUGGAGUCUGCAACUCGACUCCAUGAAGUCGGAAUCGCUAGUAA
rnacentral:rRNA from 1 species